rnacentral:tRNA from 1 species
AGUCUUGUAUUCAAUAGAAUGAUAAUCUAUUAUCAUUCUAUAGGAGUAAAUUUAACGAUCUAAGACUU